AUUGAUCCUUGGCCUUUUGGCUGAGAUCAAUUGUAGUAUCUGUUCUUUUCAGUUUAAUAUCUGAUAUGUCCUUUGUAUGGGGAUAAAUGUUGAACAUGUUUUCGUUAGGAGUUGAACAAUGGGAUUUUCUCUGUUUACACAAGCUGGCAAGGUUUCCAGGGAAUUUACAGAGAGACUUUUGCAGACAUUUG